rnacentral:rRNA from 1 species
CAGUCGCCCGGUAAGACAAAGGAUGCAAGCGUUAUCCAGAAUGAUUGGGCGUAAAGCGUCUGUAGGUGACUUUUCAAGUCCGCCGUCAAAUCCCAGGUCUCAACCCUGGACAGGCAGUGGAAACUACCAAGCUGGAGUACGGUAGUGGCAGAGAAAAUUUCCUGUGGAGUGGUGAAAUGCGUUGAGAUCGGAAAGAACACCAACGGUGAAAGCACUCUGCUGGGCCGACACUGACACUGAGAGACGAAAGCUAUGGGAGCAAAUGGGAUUAGAUACCCCCGUAGUCCCUGUCUCUUAUACA